UACAGAGGGUGCGAGCGUUGUUCGGAAUUACUGGGCUUAAAGAGUUCGUAGGCGGCAUUACAAGUAGGGUGUGAAAGCCCUCGGCUCAACCGAGGAAUUGCGCUCUAAACUGUCGUGCUAGAGGAACCUAGAGGUGAGCAGAACAGAUGGUGGAGCGGUGAAAUGCGUUGAUAUCAUCUGGAAUACCGGAGGCGAAGGCGGCUCACUGGGGGUUUUCUGACGCUGAGGAACGAAAGCCAGGGUAGCGAACGGG
rnacentral:rRNA from 1 species